rnacentral:tRNA from 1 species
AAGAUCCUAGUAUAACAAAAUACGUGACCCUGUCAGCAUCAAAAUAUAGUAAUCACCUAUGGAUCUUA